AUGUUAUUAAUAAAGCAGAAGAAACAUUGGGUCCCUUUUUUUGCUGAAAGACCGGAACUGCACAAAGCAUUUGAAUUGUGUGUUGAUCACAGUUUGACACCGGAAGAAUUCGAGCAAAGCUGGAAAGCAAUGAUAGAUAAAUACCAGGUUCAAGACAACGAAACAUUACAAAACCUUUGGGAGAAGAGGAAGUUCUGGGUGCCAGCUUAUUUCAUGAAGUGCUUCUACCCCUUUCUACAAAAAACCCAAUGUAGGAAAGGUUUCAACGCAGUUCUGAAGAGAUAUGUGAACCCAGGGAACUCAAUUCUUAGGUUUGUGCAGCAGUACAAUGCAAUUCAGCAAAAAAAUUGGGUGUAG
rnacentral:rRNA from 1 species